rnacentral:rRNA from 1 species
AGAGUUUGAUCCUGGCUCAGGAUGAACGCUAGCGACAGGCUUAACACAUGCAAGUCGAGGGGCAGCGGGGGUGAUGGCUUGCCAUCGCCUGCCGGCGACCGGCGCACGGGUGAGUAACACGUAUGCAACCUGCCCGCCACAGGGGGAUAAGCGGAAGAAAUUCCGUCUAAUACCGCGUGACGCGGCACCGGGGCAUCCCGGUGCCGCCAAAGGGAUUACCGGUGGCGGAUGGGCAUGCGGCGCAUUAGCUAGUCGGCGGGGUAACGGCCCACCGAGGCGACGAUCGGUAGCCGGCCUGAGAGGGCGGACGGCCACAUUGGGACUGAGACACGGCCCAGACUCCUACGGGAGGCAGCAGUGGGGGAUAUUGCACAAUGGGGGGAACCCUGAUGCAGCGACGCCGCGUGGGUGAAGGAGUGCUCCGGCAUGUAAAGCCCUAUCGGCAGGGAAGAGGAAGGCGCCCUUUGGGCGCUUGGACGGUACCUGACUAAGAAGCCCCGGCUAACUACGUGCCAGCAGCCGCGGUAAUACGUAGGGGGCAAGCGUUAUCCGGAUUCACUGGGUGUAAAGGGAGCGUAGACGGCCAUGCAAGCCAGGGGUGAAAGCCCGGGGCCCAACCCCGGGACUGCCCUUGGAACUGUGGGGCUGGAGUGCGGGAGGGGCAGGCGGAAUUCCUGGUGUAGCGAUGAAAUGCGUAGAUAUCAGGAGGAACACCGGCGGCGAAGGCGGCCUGCUGGACCGCGACUGACGUUGAGGCUCGAAAGCGUGGGGAGCGAACAGGAUUAGAUACCCUGGUAGUCCACGCCGUAAACGAUGACUACUAGGUGUCGGGGGACGACAGUGCCCCGGUGCCGGCGCAAACGCAAUAAGUAGUCCACCUGGGGAGUACGUCCGCAAGGAUGAAACUCAAAGGAACUGACGGGGACCCGCACAAGCGGUGGAUUAUGUGGAUUAAUUCGAUGCAACGCGAAGAACCUUACCAGGGCUUGACAUCCUACUAACGAGGUAGAGAUACGUUAGGUGCCCUUCGGGGAAAGUAGAGACAGGUGGUGCAUGGUUGUCGUCAGCUCGUGUCGUGAGAUGUUGGGUUAAGUCCCGCAACGAGCGCAACCCUUAUUGUUAGUUGCUACGCAAGAGCACUCUAGCGAGACUGCCGUUGACAAAACGGAGGAAGGUGGGGACGACGUCAAAUCAUCAUGCCCCUUACGUCCUGGGCUUCACACGUAAUACAAUGGCGGCCAACAGAGGGAUGCAAAACCGCGAGGUGGAGCGAACCCCUAAAAGCCGUCCCAGUUCAGAUUGCAGUCUGCAACUCGACUGCAUGAAGUCGGAAUCGCUAGUAAUCGCGGAUCAGCAUGCCGCGGUGAAUACGUUCCCGGGCCUUGCACUCACCGCCCGUCA